rnacentral:tRNA from 28 species
GGGCGGUUAGCUCAGCGGUAGAGCACUCGCCUUACAAGCGAGGGGUCACUGGUUCGAACCCAGUACCGCCCACCA